CUUUUUCAAAAUGUGGCGGUGGCAGGGAAGGUUGUCUGCUCCAGAGGCUUCCCUAGAGUGAAGAGCUCUACUAUGUAUGCUUUAUGCGGCAGAAGGAGUGCUUUGGAGGAGUUUUUAAAUUUGUUUUUUUUUUAAAUCUUAUCGGUUUUAAUUGUAGCAAUGAUUCAAGAAACGUUAGUAGGUGCCCAUAACUUCGGUGGUGGAGAUCCAAAAGUGAACAAGACAGUGUUCUGGCUGCUAAAUUCUUCUUAACUGGUUAUGCCUGGAGACCUUCACUUGGUUCUGUGCCAGCACUGCCCAUGAACUUCAUAGACUGUGAUCUUUGCUAAGGCCUAAAUGAAUGAAGUGUACACUUCUUUGGUUCACUGGAACUGAACAACAGCUGAAUGUUUAACCUUGAUUGCAGGUGCAGGACCGGAAGCAGAAGACAGAAAGUGGAGACCAGAUGUUUGAAGCUGGGUAAAGGCAGGGAUGGAGCAGGAACCGAGGAACAAACCUUGGAACUAGCCACUUGAUUGCCGAGCCCCAUAGAAGACAUAAUUUACAAGAAACUCAUAGAGACUCAAAAUGUAAGGUUCUCUGAAAGAAAUUGAGGUGUAGUUCUUAGGUUA
rnacentral:lncRNA from 1 species